rnacentral:ribozyme from 14 species
UUUUCGUGCUUUUCCUUUUUCUUCUCUUCCUUUUCCUUUCUCUUUUCCGUA